rnacentral:rRNA from 1 species
GCUCUGUUAUCUGCAUAGUUUUUAGAUUUGUGUGAUUAAAUUAUUUCAAACCUAACACGUCCCUGUUACCUCACACGAAUGCUAAGAAACCCUUAGUAAAUAAGGAUCAGUAAAAUGCAUAUUUACUAAGUAAAGGAUUCCGAAAGGACCUAAAGUGGUUUCCAAACUCAUGAAAGAUCGAGUUGCCAUGGAAUGCUUUUCCGAAUGUUAUUAAACAUGUUGAUAAUAAAUUGAGUUUAAUUAAAGUAAUUUUCCUAGUUUAUUUACGUUAUAAUUGUUGCAAAUUGUGUUUAAUUUUGCUCAAAUCUAUUUCAUUCAUAGAGUUUGCAUACGUAGGAUAAUUUGCAUUAGGGAUCAUUGCAUUUAGUUUAAUAUAUUCAAUUUUAAUCAUCACUUCUCAACCAUAUUAUGUUUUUUUUACCAAGUUGUUAGUAUAAUUUUACAAUUAAUUUAUUUAACACAAAUACAAUCCUUGUGGAGACGAUAACUUGAUACUUACUUAUUACUUGAUAACGACUGUGUACACUUGUACAAACCUACGCAUUAUAGAGGGCAACUUUGGUGCCAGCAGCUGCGGUAAUUCCAGCUCCAAUAGCAUAUAUUUAAGUUAUUACAGUUAAAAGCUCGUAAUUGGACUUAAGGUUGGGUCAGUUGGUUCGCCUUAUGGUGAGCAUCAAUUUUCUCGUCUCUACUACCGACGAUGCACUCCUAGCCUUAAUUGGUCGAGUCGUUCCUCUAGCAUUGUCACUUUGAAGAAAUUAGAGUACUCAAUGCAAGCCUACGGUUGUAUCCAUUAGCAUGGGAUAACAUCAUAGGAUUUUGAUCCUAUUGUGUCAGCCUUUGGAAUUGGAGUAAUGAUUAACAGAGACAGUUGGGGGCAUUUGUAUUUCAUAGUCAGAAGUGAAAUUCUUGGUUUUAUGAAAGACGAACAACUACAAAAGCAUUUGCCAAUGAUGUUUUCGUUAAUCAAGAAUGAAUGUUGGGGCCUCGAAGGUGAUCUAAUACCGUCAACCAUAAACGAUGUCAACCAAGGAUCAGCGGAUGUUGCUUUUAGGACUCCACUAGCACCUCAUAAGAAAUCAAAGUCUUUGGGCUCUAGGGGAGCAUGGUCGCAAAACUUAAAAGAAUUGACAAAAGGGCACCACUAGGAGUAGAGCCUACAGCUUAAUUUGACUCAACAGGAGGAAACUUAACAGGUCCAGACAUAGUAAGAAUUGACAAAUUGAGAGCUCUUUCUUGAUUCUAUGGGUGGUGGUGCAUGGCCGUUCUUAGUUGGUGGAGCGAUUUUUCUAGUUAAUUCUAUUAAAGAACAAGACCUCAGCCUGCUAACUAGCUACACUGAAGUGAUUCUCCACAGCUAGCUUUUUAAAGGGACUAUGGCCUUUUAGGCCAAGGAAGUUUGAGGCAAUAGUAGGUCUGUUAUGCCCUUAUAUGUUCUGGGCCACAUGCGUGCUACACUGAUGUAUUCAAUGAGUCUAUACCUUUGGCCACAGGCCAGAGAAAUCUUUGAAAUUUCAUCGUGAUAGGGAUAGAUCAUUGCAAUUAUUGGUCUUCAACGAGGAAUUCCUAGUAAGUGCGAGUCAUCAGCUAGCGAUGACUAUGUCCUUACCCUUUGUACACAUCGCCUGUUACUCUUACCAAUUGAACGGUCCAAUGAAGCUUUUGGAUCAUGGUGACGUAGACGAUUCGCUGCCCGCGACGUCACAAGAAGUUCACUAAAUCUUAUCAUUUAGUGGAAGGAUAAGUCAUAACAAGGUUUCCCAACAAGCCAAGCCUAAAA